CUUUGGGUGAUAACUAGAUGCUAUACUCUGGAAAGUCACUCUGUCUCUGUGAUUCUGUUUCCUCAACUGUGAAAUUGAGGUAAUGGUGUUUGUAUAUAUGUGUGUGUGUGUGUGUGUGUGUAAUAUAGAUCUUAUGUUGGAAGAGGGAAGUUCAGAUUAGGUCAUGUGGAUAAAGUACUUUGUGGGAUAGCUAGAUAGCUCAGUGGGUAGGACUCUGGGCCUGGAGUCAGGAAGACAUCUUCCUGAGUUCAAAUCCAGCCUUAGGUACUUACUGGGUGACUCUGGGCAUGUCAUUUGACUCUGCUGGCCUUAGUUUCCCCAUCUGUAAAAUUAACUGGAGAAUGAAAUGGCAAACCACUCUAGGAUCUUUGCCAGGAGAACCCUAAAUGGGGUCACAAAGAGUCAGACAUGACUGAAAUGACCAAAUAGCACCAACAUAAAGUACUUUACAAACCACAAUCUGCCAUGUAGACAUCAGGAAGAAAAACAUCCCAGGGAUGAGGUGAAGCAAUGGGAAUACAGUAUGUUUGAAGGCACUGAAAUGGAAAAUGGAAUGUUAGGUGUGAAGAACAGAUAGAAGGCCAAUUUGGCUGGGCUGGAGAAUGAAUAAAAGGGAAUCCUGUGUAAUAAGUCUUAGAAAACCUUUAAAUGCCAAACAGAAGUUUUUUCUUCAACCCUGGAGGCACUAAGGAGUCAAUCUACAUUCAUUUUACGCAACUGCUGGGUUUUACUGAGCAGAUCCUGCUUGAAUGAUGUUACUUUUCCACCUGCAUGGAUGAGAGAUUGAAGUGGGAAGAGCCAGGAGUCAAGGUGACCCAUUGGGAGGAUAUUGCAACAGUCCAAGCAAGAGUACUUCAGGAUAUGGAAAACAUUUUAUGGAUAUUGUCUGCUGAACCAUAUAGGAACUCUGUGAGGGGCAAGUGCAUGCCUAGAGGCACUGUGGGAGUGGGAGAAAUAAGAAGUUUAGAUAAGGGAACUGAGGUUGAAUCAGUUUGCCACUUGGCCAGGGUCACAUAUCCAGGGUUUUUGAAAUAAAAUUUGAAUUCAGAUCUUCCUGAUGCCAAGUCCAUUAUUUUAUCCACCACACUACCUAGCUGGCAAAAAUGAAACAUAUUAGUAACAAUAUUGCCCAGCUUAUAUCUCCUUGUGAACUUGUGGGUGUGUUUAUAUACUUUAAAUAUUUUAUUGAAGCUCCUAUUUUAUCUUUCUUCCUCCCUCCCUUCUUCACCAACAACAUGCACGAGGAAGUUAUCCUUUGUAACAAUUAUAUUUUCAUAUUAUGAAUGAAUGGAAUUAGAGAGCUAAACACUGAAGCCAGCCCAUCAAGAAACACCAUCCCUAAGUUGGACAUUUAUAAUGUUGCCUUAAUCUUUGCCCCUCAGGCAGUCUCAACACAGCAUGAAGUGAAAGGAAGAUUUAGUAUUUAGCCCAAAUGGAUAAUUCAGGAGGUUUGGAACCUGGGCUGGAUAAUUUAGGCAAAUAAAUAAUUUUUGAGAGAGGAAUUUGCUGGAUCA
rnacentral:lncRNA from 1 species